rnacentral:rRNA from 1 species
UACGUAGGGUGCGAGCGUUAAUCGGAAUUACUGGGCGUAAAGCGUGCGCAGGCGGUUCGUUGUGUCCGUCGUGAAAGCCCCGGGCUUAACCUGGGAACUGCGAUGGAAACUAGCGAGCUGGAGUGUGGCAGAGGGGGGUGGAAUUCCGCGUGUAGCAGUGAAAUGCGUAGAGAUGCGGAGGAACACCGAUGGCGAAGGCAGCCCCCCUGGGCUAAGACUGACGCUGAGGCACGAAAGCGUGGGGAGCAAACAGG